CGCGAGUACUGUCCGGCCGUUCCUUUCCUUCUGGGGAAUCCCAUGGCCUUCACUGGGUGUGGGGGGAACCAGGACUUUUACUGUGAAAAAAUUAGAGUGUUCAAAGCAGGCCUUUGCUCUAAUACAUUACCAUGGAAUAAUAGAAUAGGACGUGUGGUUCUAUUUUGUUGGUUUCUAGGACCGCCGUAUUGAUUCAUAGGGAUAGUCGGGGGCGUCAGUAUUCAGCUGUCAGAGGUGAAAUUCUUGGAUUUGCUGAAGACUAACUACUGCGAAAGCAUUCGCCAAGGAUGUUUUCAUUAAUCAGGGAACGAAAGUUAGGGGAUCGAAGACGAUCAGAUACCGUCGUAGUCUUAACCAUAAACUAUGCCGACUAGGGAUCGGGCGGGAUUCUACAAUGACCCGCUCGGCACCUUACGAGAAAUCAAAGUUUUUGGGUUCUGGGGGGAGUAUGGUCGCAAGGCUGAAACUUAAAGAAAUUGACGGAAGGGCACCCCCAGGCGUGGAGCAUGCGGCUUAAUUUGACUCAACACGGGGAAACUCACCAGGUCCAGACAAAAUAAGGAUUGACAGAUUGAGAGCUCUUUCUUGAUCUUUUGGAUGGUGGUGCAUGCCCGUUCUUAGUUGGUGGAGUGAUUUGUUUGAUUAAUUGCGAUAACGAACGAGACCUCGGCCCUUAAAUAGCCCGGUCCGCAUGUGCGGGCCGCAGGCUUUUUAGGGGGACCAUCGG
rnacentral:rRNA from 1 species